GCAGAGGUUUUAGCUAACAGUUAAAAUAGCAUUGUUUCACAGAGGACGCCUGACCCUCGCUAGGCCCCAAAAUAAUAUGAUUCAUACACAGUCUAUUUCAUUUCAGUGGAGUUUAGUGUCACUCCCUCCCUCAGCAUUCAACAGCAUGAGUUCUUCAGUCCAGAACAGACCUACUACGUGGACAUCAGAUUUCGUUGUGGAAAUGUGAUCGCAAAUUGUGGAUUUACUUAGUUGUUCCUGUUGAAUUCACAUUGGAUUUACUUCACUGUUCCUGUUGGAUUGUUUGUUGCUGAGAUAUCACAUGAGUCAACGCUGGAUUUAAAGGUUGUGUACUGCUCUCUGAUGAUGAGAUCGUGCCGGCCCGUCCUGUGCUCAGAUGAGAUCCAGAGGAUGUGAUGGACCACAAA